GAGGAAGGAAAGAGGGAAAGAAGGAAAGAAAGAAAAGACAAGACGAAAAGAAAAAGAGAAAAAGAGGGGAGGGAAGGAAGAGAGGACAGAGCAAGCAAAACGACCUAACGGAUUAUCAUAGCAAAUGUGUGUGAGGGAAGCCAGGCUUUUGUUUGGAGAAAGCUCAUGUGGUGCGGAAGACAGCAGACCUGGCUUGUGAAGUCAUCAUCCCUGGGGGCUUUGUUAAUGCUCUCCCUGGCCUUAGGAGAGACCCAUGAGGGCUCAGCCAAGCACAACUAAUAAUAGAAUUAAGAAAAUAGCCUUUCGGAUUAUUUAGCCUAAAAGAAAUUAUGGUUUAAAAAUUGUCUUAAGGAAAGAGGUUUUAGAUGAAAACACUGAUCAAUUGCAAACCAUUUUCGCAGAGGAUCGAAGAAGAAGAAAUGGCCUUAAGUUGAUUAAGAGAGGUUGAAGAAGAGAUCCUUGCCAGGGAGGCUGAUGAGAGCCUGGCAUGGGCUGAUAGUGGGCUUGCUCAGUCCUGGGAGGACUGAAUAUAAGAAACACCAUCUGUCCUAGAAGAUCCAGGGAGACUUUCCAGAAGGUUCCUUGAAGUUCCAAUCCUAUGAUGUCUCGAUGAAGAAUUACAUUUUACACUCGAAAGAACUCUCCGAAUGAACCCUUUCAAUUCAACCUAUGUGGACAUAAGAUUCAAAGUAUGGCCAACCCCAUGCAUCACAUCCAAAGUCCAUUUCGUCCAUGGUUGAUGAUUCCAUGAAUGCAAUAUGCUGCAGAGCACGAUGGUGUGGGCUUCUGAUGAGAAGUUGGAGCACGCUGUUUAUUUUGUUCUUCGGUCUCUCUAUCGAAACCACUUGAAAACAUCACUUAACUAGGUAAUUUGGGACAGCCUUCGGUUUACAGCCACCUUGGCUCCUUGGUUCAUUUCUCUAUCACUCUCGUCUUUGCCUUCUUAGGCCAGGAAAAAGGACAAGGAAAAUCUCUCUCUUUGGCACCAAGGAGGUUCCUUAAUUGUUCGAAUAUGCUUACAAAAGAUAUGGUUGUAUUUCACAUGCAGGGUUUUUUUUUUUUUUUUACGUGUUCUAAAUUCUUUGGUUUGAAUCCACAUUUUUUACCAGUUUUCAGUAUGUGUUCUAACCUUGUUUUCUAUCAUGUUGGACCAAGUAGGCACUUUAAUGAGAUGCUUCUGCCUCUUUGUUUCUAGGAGAGAAAAUGGAAUCAGAGAGGAGGAUGUCUGCCAUGACUGAAAUCCCCAGAAAUGGGAAGAAAGACUGAUCAAACCCUAUUGCUUCUGUCUCAAUUUGUACAAAUGAAAGGGAAGCAGGUUUUUACCAAUUUGUGACGGUCUCCAGGAAAGACGUGAGGGUGCUGAAUAUCCCAAUUUUCUGUUGUUCAGUGGCCCAUCAGUUGCUUUAAAAAGCAUCCUACUGAUAAGGAGAAACCAGAACCCUCAUACACUGCUUGGGGGAAGGUAAAAUGGUGCAUCUGCUGUGGAAAACAGUGUGGCAGUUCAUCCUCAAAAAGUUAGGCAGAGAAUUACCAUGUAACCCAGCAGCCCCGCUCCUAUGUAUGUAUAUGCCCAGGAAAAUUGAGAAACAUUUGUCCACAUGGAAUUUGUACACAAAUGUCCAUAGUAGCAUUAUUCAUAAUAGUCAAAAAGUAGAAGCAACCCAAAUGUCCAUUAGCUGAUAAAUGGAUAAAUAGCAUGGUCUACUCAUACAGUGGAAUAUUAUUUGGCUGCAAAAAAGAAUUCUAGCAAGAUAUUUAAAUCAAAAAUAAAAAUAAAUCAUUGGGGCAAUUUCUUCAAAUCAAGGAAGGCUUUAUAUCUAAACAUGUAAUAGUAAUAAUAAUGCUCGUUUGUUUAUUAUAGCUACCAUUCUACAUAUCUCGUUUGAUUCUCAUGAUAACCCUCAAAAGUAGUUGUGAUCAUUCCCGUUUUCAGACAAGCAAACGGAAGUUCAAAGAGAUACGAUACUUUCUGAAGUCUUCUAGUUGUCCUGUUCCCAAAGCCCGGCCUUCUCAUGGUUUCUGAAAUGUGUGAUGCCCUUGGCCUCAGGCUGACAGAGGAAGUUGGGGGUAGUGGUGGAAAGAACCAGCUGCAGUGUGGUUUUGUGUUUUCCGGCAACUAUUUCUUGGGGUGAAGAAGCAGGCUGCCCAUCACAUGCAGUGGUCUUAGUUCUUAAUAGUAGAGUUCUAGUUGGUAAUUAGAUAAAAGAUUCAGGCACCAGGAAGUAGUUUUGCACCUGUACCCCAGUAAUAAAUGGGAGGGCAGUACUGAAUUCAGGGCUAAGAGGAGACAUUACAAUCUAUUCAGUCACUCCAACUACUCAGGGGUAAUUCUUUGCCCGUCUGUGGCUUGGUCUAGGUUUGAAGCAAGCUUCUUGGGUCCACGGGUAGAGUUCUUCUAGUUGAGAUUCAGGAGCCAGGUCGCCCCGGGCAGGUCCUGGUUUCGUGCCCGUGGCUCCUUUCAGCUCCCAGCCUCUCCCAGCCCCACAGCCUGAGCUCCUCUGCCAGUACGGACCCCGGUCCUAGCCCCAAUGUCCCAGACCCGUGCGACGCUGCCAGGCUUUGCACGGUCAUUGGCACUUUAGCAGUACUCACGUGCUUUGUGCCUGCUGCCUUUUUUUCUGGUCUCUGGUUUUUGAGCUCAGCUCUGUAAUAAAAUUCCGUUGUUGUAUUUUA